rnacentral:rRNA from 1 species
AGAGUUUGAUCAUGGCUCAGAAUCAACGCUGGCGGCGUGCCUAACACAUGCAAGUCGAACGAGAAAGUGGAGCAAUCCAUGAGUAAAGUGGCGCACGGGUGAGUAACACGUGACUAACCUACCCUGGAGUGGGGGAUAACUGAGGGAAACCUUAGCUAAUACCGCAUAAUACCUACGGGUCAAAGGAGCAAUUCGCUUCAGGAGGGGGUCGCGGCCGAUUAGUUAGUUGGCGGGGUAAUGGCCCACCAAGACAGUGAUCGGUAUCCGGCCUGAGAGGGCGCACGGACACACUGGAACUGAAACACGGUCCAGACUCCUACGGGAGGCAGCAGUGGGGAAUUUUGCGCAACGGGGGAAACCCUGACGCAGCAACGCCGCGUGGAGGAUGAAGUCCUUCGGGACGUAAACUCCUUUCGAUCGGGACGAUUAUGACGGUACCGGAAGAAGAAGCCCCGGCUAACUUCGUGCCAGCAGCCGCGGUAAUACGAGGGGGGCGAGCGUUGUUCGGAAUUAUUGGGCGUAAAGGGUGCGUAGGCGGUUUUGUAAGUCUUAUGUGAAAUCUAUGGGCUCAACUCAUAGACUGCAUGAGAAACUGCAGGGCUUGAGUAUGGGAGAGGUGAGUGGAAUUCCUGGUGUAGCGGUGAAAUGCGUAGAUAUCAGGAGGAACACCUGUGGCGAAAGCGGCUCACUGGACCAUAACUGACGCUGAUGCACGAAAGCUAGGGGAGCAAACAGGAUUAGAUACCCUAGUAGUCC